GCCUCCGUAGAUUAGUUGGCUAAAUCGUCAGUCUCAUAAGCUGAAGAUCGAGGGUUCAAGUCCCUCUGGAGGCA
rnacentral:tRNA from 1 species